CUGGUCGUUCUUUGAUGUGAUUGGCCAUGCAAGGAGUUCUGCCUGGCAACAAGAGAACUAAUGCACUGAUUGGUCGAUAAUUACAAAAGGCGGUCCUCUUCGACUCAUCUGUUAGUUGCCGCUGAGACCGGUUUCAGUGUGAAGUUAAAGAAGGGAGUUUUUCAUCCUGCGCCAUUUUAACCAAGCCCACAGAAGACUACAUGUCAUAGCCGGAGACGAUGACUCUGCUUUCUUUAAGUCAUGUUUAGUGUCUGAUCAUUGCAACUCUGUCCUUGAUGUGCCAGUGGGGAUCUUACUCGAAGACACCAAUUAUCAGCCCCCCAACUCCUUGCAUUUGACUUCCUCUAUUGGGAUAAUACUUGAAGGGCAGGUGGUGAUGGACAACAUGCAGGACCUCUCACAAGCAAUGUGUCUUCUCUUUGGUCUUAUUUAUGCAUUAGACCUGAAUUACCCAAAAUCACUUGCAAACUUGAUUUCAUACAGUGUGUACUGAUGUCAAUGGGGCAGAACACCCUCAAGCCUAAAGUGCAGUCUUUGGCAAACCAGCUUUUUGUUUAAGAAAAAUGUUUAGGUCUCAUUGCUGCAGAUUUGAGUCAGCAUUGUUACAUUUAGUCCAUAUUAAAAUAAUUGAGACCAUUUUUUUCUCAAUUUACUCCAAGUAAAUAUAAAAAGUAUAAUGUUUGAAUGGUUUAAGUGCACAGAGUUCUACCACUGUAGUGCACUAGUUAAUGUGGGACAUUGUUACCACCUGUACAGUGUGGUUGUGACAUUUCCAUUACAGUAGGGUGUGUACUGUAAUUUCAUCAAUAUUGUGAAUAUUGGUCAAUAAAGACA